GACGAACGCUGGCGGCGUGCUUAACACAUGCAAGUCGAACGGUAAGGCCCUUCGGGGUACACGAGUGGCGAACGGGUGAGUAACACGUGGGUGAUCUGCCCUGCACUUCGGGAUAAGCCUGGGAAACUGGGUCUAAUACCGGAUAGGACCACUGCCUGCAUGGGUGGUGGUGGAAAGCUUUUGCGGUGUGGGAUGGGCCCGCGGCCUAUCAGCUUGUUGGUGGGGUGAUGGCCUACCAAGGCGACGACGGGUAGCCGGCCUGAGAGGGUGACCGGCCACAGUGGGACGGAGAUACGGCCCAGACUCCUACGGGAGGCAGCAGUGGGGAAUAGUGCACAAUGGGCGCAAGCCUGAUGCAGCGACGCCGCGUGAGGGAUGACGGCCUUCGGGUUGUAAACCUCUUUCAGCACCGACGAAGCGCAAGUGACGGUAGGUGCAGAAGAAGGACCGGCCAACUACGUGCCAGCCGCCGCCGUAA
rnacentral:rRNA from 1 species